rnacentral:rRNA from 1 species
GSGAAGUKUCCCGGGRRAAKCUCSAUUUGAAAUCUGUGAGGGBCGAGUUGUAAUUUGUAGAAGAUGCUUUGGGUAUGGCCCCGGUCUAAGUUCGUUGGAACACGACGUCAUAGAGGGUGAGAAUCCCGUAUGUGACUGGGUGCUUUUGCCUAUGUAAAGCUCUUUCGACGAGUCGAGUUGUUUGGGAAUGCAGCUCAAAAUGGGUGGUAUAUUUCAUCUAAAGCUAAAUAUUGGCCAGAGACCGAUAGCGCACAAGUAGAGUGAUCGAAAGAUGAAAAGCACUUUGGAAAGAGAGUUAAACASUACGUGAAAUUGUUGAAAGGGAAKYGCUUGCAACCAGACUUGCACGCUGUUGAUCAUCCAGGCUUCUGUUUGGUGCACUCAACUGCGUUCAGGCCAGCAUCGGUUUUGGUGGUGGGAUAAAGGCCUUGGGAAUGUAGCUUCUUUCGGGGAGUGWUAUAGCCCUCSGUGCAAUGCCKCCUACCGGGACCGAGGACCGCGCUUCGGCUAGGAUGCUGGCGUAAUGGUUGUAARCGACCCGUCUUGAAACACGGACCAAGGAGUCUAACAUCUAUGYSAGUGUUUKGGUGUCAAACCCAUACGCGUAAUUAACGUGAACGGAGGUGAGAACCCUUAAGGGUGCAUCAUCGACCGAUCCUGAUGUCUUCYGAUGGAUUUGARUAGAGCAUAGCUGUUGGGACCCGAAAGAUGGUGAACUAUGCCUGAAUAGGUGAAGCCAGAGGAAACUCUGGUGGAGCUCGCAGCGGUCUGACGUGCAAUCGAUCGUCAAAUUUGGGUAUAGGGGCGAAAGACUAAUCGAACCAUCUAGUAKCUGGUYCUGCCGAG